AUCAAAAAAUAAAAUAAAAAAGAAGAAAACAGCAAAGAGCAAACGUCUUCUUCUUCUUCUUCUUCUUCUUCUUCUCUCUUCCUUGAGCUUGCUUGCUCCUCUCUUGUGUCUUCCUUCGUCACUGUCCGUAUCAACAAUCAAACCCGAAACGUCUCUUCUGUCUGUUAAUUCAGAUUAUGUCUCAAUCUCUCCCUCUCGUCUCCUUGAUGAGCACUUUUCCUCAUUGACAAAAAUCCGAAAUCACGACAGACCCAUUUCAUUUCCAUCUUCUAUUUUUAAUAAAAAUCUCAUCUUUCGUGUCUUCUCAACAGAACCAACAUCCAAAGAAUCGGCAUUUCCUCUCUCAAAGCUGUAAAAACCGAUACUUUUCUCGGUUCAAAUCUCGAGAAUUCUGAGACCCACCACGAGUUUCCUGAACCAAAGUGGCUUUGAGGAUGGAAGCAGAAACGUCUUGGACCACUUACCCUUACAACUACAUGACUACAUACAUCCCUGAAGCUGAAUCAUACUCUGAGCAGAGCGAUGAUGAUGAAGAGACCAAACUCCAAACCUUUGCAAUGGAUUCUCUUCUCCCCAACGAUCUACUAGAAAGAAUCCUCUCCUUUCUCCCCAUUGCUAGCAUCUUCAGAGCUGGCACGGUCUGCAAAAGAUGGAACGAGAUUGUCUCUUCUCAAAGAUUCUUAUGGAACUUCUCCAACAACAACAACAACAACUCGGUUUCUCAGGGGCCUUGGUACUUCAUGUUCACCACCACUGAUGAUCCAUCCGGUUAUGCUUAUGACCCGGUUAUCAAGAAAUGGUACAGCUUUGAUCUCCCUUGCAUUGAAACUUCGAAUUGGUUUAUUGCUUCCUCUUGUGGAUUGGUUUGUUUCAUGGAUAAUGACUGUAGAAGCAAGAUCUAUGUCUCAAACCCUAUCACCAAGCAAUGGAGAAGACUUAUCGAACCACCGGGUCAUAAGGCUACUGAUUAUACAGCAUUGUCUACCUCCAUGAACAGAGCAAAACAGAGUUACUCUGUUUCUAUAGUGAAGUCAAAGCAAGUUGCUGGAGAUUUCUUCCAAUGGGAUCUCUCUAUUCAUCUCUACAGCUCCGAAACAAUGACGUGGACAACAAGUGUAACCGAUGUCUUAACCGGGUGGAGAGGAGGAGACGAGAGUGUGAUCUGCAACAAUGUUCUUUACUUCUUGAUUUACACCACAGGAGGCAACUCUGAUCAUCGCCACGGCUUGAUUGCUUCUAACUUAUCGUCGUCCACAUCAUCCUUGAUGAGGAGUUUCAUUCCAAUGCCGUGUGCUUUAACCUGUGGGAGGCUGAUGAAUCUCAAGGAGAGGCUUGUGGUCGUUGGAGGGAUAGGGAAGCAUGAUAGGCCAGAGAUUAUCAAAGGGAUUGGGAUAUGGUGUUUGAAAGGAGGGAGAGAGUGGCAAGAGAUGGCGAGAAUGCCUCAGAGAUUCUUCCAAGGGUUUGGGGAGUUGGAUGAUGUUUUCGCGAGUAGUGGCAGUGAUGAUUUGGUUUAUAUACAGAGCUAUGGAUCUCCUGCGCUUUUGAUGUUUGAUAUGAAGUUAAAGUGUUGGAAAUGGUCUCAGAAGUGUCCUGUCUCUAAGAAGUUCCCUCUCCAGCUCUUUACUGGGUUUUGCUUUGAACCAAGACUUGAGAUCACUCCAUAGCUCUGAAGGAGAAGAAGAUGAUGAUUAUGUUUUUUAAAUGAUUGAGAAAAUAUAUUCAGGAAUAUUGUUGUUAUUAUUACCAUAUAUUUUGAGUAAAAAUAGAAUAAACCUUUUUAACAGUGUGGCCCACAAUAUCUGAUAGUUUUUGAAACUGGGGGUUGUCUGGUUGCUGUUCCUGGACCUGGAGGGUAAAUAAUUGUUUCCAUAAUAUAUGUAUCUACUAUAGAUAGCCGUAUGUUUGUAAUGUGUUAUCUAUUAUAGAUAGCUGUUUGUUUUGUAC